GGUUCGUUGGUCAAGAGGUUAAGACGCUGCCCUCUCACGGCAGAAUCACGGGUUCGAUUCCCGUACGAACUG
rnacentral:tRNA from 1 species